rnacentral:rRNA from 1 species
CCUACGGGGGGCUGCAGUGGGGAAUAUUGCACAAUGGGCGCAAGCCUGAUGCAGCCAUGCCGCGUGUGUGAAGAAGGCCUUCGGGUUGUAAAGCACUUUCAGCGGGGAGGAAGGCGUUAAGGUUAAUAACCUUGUCGAUUGACGUUACCCACAGAAGAAGCACCGGCUAACUCCGUGCCAGCAGCCGCGGUAAUACGGAGGGUGCAAGCGUUAAUCGGAAUGUACUGGGCGUAAAGCGCACGCAGGCGGUCUGUCAAGUCGGAUGUGAAAUCCCCGGGCUCAACCUGGGAACUGCAUUCGAGACUGGCAGGCUAGAGUCUUGUAGAGGGGGGUAGAAUUCCAGGUGUAGCGGUGAAAUGCGUAGAGAUCUGGAGGAAUACCGGUGGCGAAGGCGGCCCCCUGGACAAAGACUGACGCUCAGGUGCGAAAGCGUGGGGAGCAAACAGGAUUAGAUACCCUAGUAGUC